rnacentral:RNase_MRP_RNA from 1 species
GCUUACGCUGAAGGCCUGUUUCCUAGGCAACAGAAGGAGGGACUUGUUUCCUCAUCGUAGCCUAGGGGAAUGUCCCUGAUCCCAGGCAGAAAGUGCCACAUGCACAUGCACUCAGACUGUCCCUACUUCUCAAGUAAAGUCUGCAAGAAGCUGGCUGGGCCCUGCUGCUCCUUGUGGGGAUGUCAUCAUCAACCAAAUGGGGAUCAUUCUCAGAACAGG